GGGAUGUGGCUCAGUGGCAGAGCGCUUGCCUAGCAUGUGUGAGUCCCUGGGUUCCAUUCUCAGCAUCACCCA
rnacentral:tRNA from 1 species